CGAGCGGGCCUCGCGCCUUUAUUUAUCCUCGCCGGCGUCUGAGGGCAGAAGCCGCGUCUCCCCGUCCGGGGUUCGCAACGCGGGCGCUCGACGGGGGAAAAAAAGGGCCUCGGCCUCUGUGACGCGAAGGAAGAAAGCGGCGACCCUCCAGCGCCUUCAAACACCCCCCCCUCACACACACACACAACCCCCAGCGCGCGCGCGCAAAGGGUGCUGGGAGUUGUAGUCGAGCGCCCGACUGAGUGGGAGUGACCCCCCUCCUCCGCCGCCGCCGCCUCAGCCUCUUCUUUCCCGGGGGCGAGCGAGAGAUGUCGUCGUCGUCCCUUCUGUCCGUGCAGGAGGAGAACCGGCUCCUGCAGCAGGAACUGUCCCGCGUGGAGGACCUGCUGGCCCAAAGCCGAGCCGAGCGCGAUGAACUGGCCAUCAAGUACAACGCUCUCAGCGAGAGGCUGGAGGAUGCGCUGCGACUGGAGACGGGAGAGCAAGAGAGCCUGGAGAACAGGAGCCUGGCCAAGCAGAACAUCGAGCUGCGCCGGCGGUUGGACGAGGACCAGGCGUCCUACAAGCGCAAACUGCAGGCCUACCAGGAGGGACAGCAGCGGCAGGCGCAGCUGGUGCAGAAGCUGCAAGCCAAGGUUUUGCAGUACAAGAAGAAGUGUGGGGAACAAGAGCAGCAGCUGCUGGAGAAAUCCACAGAGCUGGAGCAUCAGCAACUGGUGGGCCACUUAGACAUGUCUGAGAUGCAUCUAUGUCACGACGAGGAUCCUAGCAACGACCUGGAAAACGCUCUGAUCCGUUUAGAGGAGGAGCAGCAAAGGAGUGCCAGUUUGGCCCAGGUCAACGCCAUGCUGAGGGAACAGCUGGAGCAAGCCAACGUGGCCAAUCAGGCCCUCAGCGAGGACAUCCGAAAGCUGACCAUGGACUGGACGAAAGCCCGAGAGGAGCUGCAGCAGCGGGAGGCAGAGUGGAGGCGAGAGGAAGAGUCGUUCAACGACUAUUUCAGCAGUGAGCACAGCCGGCUGCUCACCCUCUGGCGGCAAGUGGUCAGCCUCAGGAGGCACUUCAGCGAAAUGAAGAGCAUGACGGAAAGGGAUCUCUCGGAGUUGAAGAGCGAGCUGUCCCACACGAGCCGUGCUGUGAACGCCACCUGCCUGAACCUGAGCGGACGCCUUCACCUGUCGGAGAGCACAGCCAGCGCAGCUGCGGAGAAGCAGGUGCUGCUGACAGCUCAGCUGGAGGACAAGGUCAGGGACGUGAUCCAGCUGCAGGUCCGGUGUGACACCGAGAAGGUGGAGCUGAGUACCAGGCUCAGUGAAACUCUCUCAAACCUGGAGCGCCUGAAAGGGCAGAACCUGGAGAAGGGCCGGACGAUUGAAGGCUUGAACCACAAGCUGGAGACUUUGGAAGCCUGCCGUGCGCAGGAACAGUCUGUGGAGGUGGAAGCCCUGAGGAGGGAAACUGAGAAGCUGCACCAGGCGCUGCGAGAGAUUGCCCAGGCAGUGAUCUUGGACACUGAAGGCACCGGUCACCUCCCACCAUCCGACCCAAAGGCUGACGUUUCGGCCAGCAACGGCACCGGCCUGCGGGGCUUGCCCUCUCCCUUGCGGAGCUCCUCGCCUCGACGCAGCCACUCCCCUGUCUUUGCAGUCUCCACCCUGGCUAUGGUGCAGUCCGCCCUACAGAGACGCCAGCUGCAGCUGCAGGAACUCCGGGGAAAAUUUGAGGCCGCUCAGGAUCUGGUGUCUUCGCUGAAGAGGCAGCUGGCCGAGGAGAACCACGAGCGACAGUCUUCGGAGCAGACAGUCCUGCAGCUGCGGAGUGAGGUGGAGAGUCUCGCUCGGGCCAGGGAGGAGUCAAGCCGGGAUGCCAAUCACUUCCGGUCGGCGGUAGAGUUACUGGGCAGUGAGAAGUUGUCCUUGGAGAAGAGCCUCCGGGCUGCGGAGCAGGAAGUGGAAGAGCUGCGUCAAGAGAAGGAGAAACUGCAGCUGACCAGCAGCGACCUCCAGCACCACCGCAAUGCCCUGGAAGAGGAAAGGGAAGACCUCCUGAAGGAUCGAGAGCGUGCCUGGAAGGAAGUGGAACAGAGCCACAAGCAGCUGGAGCACCUGGAGGCCGCCAAGUCCAGUCUGAAGAACGAGCUGGUGCUGACGAAGGAAGCCCUCAGCCAUGCGACUCUGGAGAAGGAGGUGUUGGAAGAGGAGAAGGCCAAAGCAGCUGAAGCUCUGGCCAAGAACGAGGGGAGCCGGGCCGAGCUGGAAGUCGCUCUGAACCGGCUGAAGGCCGAGGAGGCCUCCAUGCGCGAUUCCCUUGCCAAAAUGAGUGCCCUCAACGAAGGGCUGGCGCAAGACAAAACGGAGCUGAACCACAUCCUCAUCCAGCUGGAGGAGGAGAAGGCAUGUCUGCUGAGCAGGAAGCAGGAGGCGGAGCUGGAGAAGGCCUGCAUCCGGGACGACCUGGCCCGCUUGGUGCAGGAGAAGCUGGAGCUCGACUCGGAGCGGCGAGGCCUGGGCCAUUCCCUGCAGGCGGUGGAGCAGAGCCAGGAGGCCCUGGAGCAGGAGCUGCUGGCCGUGCAGGGGGAGAAAGGGCAGCUCCAGGAACAGCUGGAGCAGCUGUCCCGCCAACGGAACGCAGCCGGCAAGGAGCUGAGCCAGGCGUGCCAAGAGCUGGAGCGCCAGAAGGAAUCUGCGCUCCGGGUGGCCCAGGAGAAGGAGACGCUGAUGAAGGAGAAAGCCGGGCUGAUGGUACAGGUGGCCGCCUUGGAGCGGGAGAACCACUGCCUGCUGGAGGAGCUCGCUGGCCUCAGGUCUGGAAAGGACUCCCUGGAAGCCUCGCUCUUUGAGACCCAGCAAAGAUUGGCCCACCUGGACACCCGGAGGGAGCAGCUGGAAACGGGCAGCCAGAGCUUGUUUCUGGCCAAAGAGGCCUUGCAAGCGGAGCUUGCAAACGUCCACAAACAGAUGGAGACGGAGGUGAGCCGCCUGGAGAGGGACAAGGAGCUCAUGGCCCAGAACCGGGCCUUGGCGGAGCAGGAGGCCCAGGCCGCCCGGAGGAACAUGCAAGCUGCCCAGGCGGAGGUCGAGCGACUCCAGCGAGAGAAGGAGGCGCUGCGGCAGGAGCAGGAGGCCGAGCGGGACCAGCUGAGGCACCAACUGAGGCAGGAGCGGGAGGAUCUGCUGGCCCAGCACGAGGCCGAGAAGGAGGAGCUGAGCGUGGAGGUGUCUGCUCUGCAGCGGGAGCGGGAUGAGGACCUCCUGCUGGCCGAGAACGAGAAGCAGCAGGCACUCUCUGUGAAAGACUCGGAGAAGGCCGUCCUCCUGGAGAAGCUCCUGGCCACCCAGCAGAGCUUGGCCAACAUCACCCUGGAGCUAGAAAGGCAGAAGCGCGAGAGCCGUAGCUGCCAGGAGCAGGAGCGGAACACCACCAGUGCUUUGAAUGCGGAGCUGCGAAAUCUGCGUUCUCAGUUGGAAGAGGCCAUCGUAGGGCACAAACGAGAGGCAAAGAGCCUGCAGGACCAGGCCAGGGACCUGGCAAAGCAGCGGGAAUCUGCCCUCUGCGAGGUGGAGGAGCUAAAGACGCGGCUGCAGCUGCUGGAGGAUGCUCGGGAACUGAUCCGCCGAGAACUGGGGGAGGCCCAUCGCAAGGUGCGCGAGGCCCAGGAGGCCUGCGAUCUCCAACGUAAGGAGGCGGCAGACCUGCGCCGUGGCCUGAACGAUGAGGCCAAGGAGAAGGAGGCCUUCCAGAAGUCCAACACGGAGCUGCGGAUGGCCCUAAAGCGGGCUGAGAGCGAGCGCAUCAGUUUGAAGCGCGCGACUGAGGAGAAGGACCAGAAAAUUUCAGUCUUGGAGGAGGCUCAAGCAGCUGCCGGCAAGGAGACCACAGACGUGCGUAGCAGCCUCCAGGAGGUGGAGCAAUCGCGGUUGGAGGCCCGUAGAGAGUUGCAGGAGCUGCGGAGACAGAUCAAGAUGCUCGACAGCGAAAACAGCAAGAAGAACAAAGAGGUAGCCGAGCUCCAGGCACGGGUUGCCCUUGACGAACAGCGAGAGGAGGAGAGCCGGCGGGAAUCCUUCGGCCUCAAACAGAAGAUUGUGGAGAGUGAGGCCGGCCGGGAGUCGGCCCGGAAAGAGCUCCACAACCUGCAGCGGAAGCUUAUGGACCUGGAGCAGGAGUCGCGCCUACGGGAGAAGGGGCUGUUGGGGAGCCUGGAGGAAGCCCGCGUCACUGAGAAGAAGCUGCUAGACGACGCCCGCAACCUGGAGAUCAAGCUGGAGAAGGCCCAGGUGGAGGGGGCCGAACUGGGCCUGAGGCUGAGCGCGGCCGAGGGUCGUGCCCAGGGCCUGGAAGUGGAGCUGGCCCGCCUGGAGGGGCUGAAACGAGAGGCGGAGUACAAGCUGGGUAGACUUCACUCAGCCCUCCGACGGACCCUGGGGGUCAGCCGCAGGGGCCGUGUCCCCGGACCAAGGGUCAGCGGGGGCUCCCCGAAGAUACUUUUCUCCCCUCCCAAAGGAACCUCUACUGCUGAGGGGCCCAACAGCAGCCCUGCCUCGUUGGCCAGCGGCCCGUUCUCCCUCCCCCUCUCACCGGAGCGCCCUCCGUCUCCCAGCCAAGCCGGGCAGCUGGUGGCAGACAUCGACCCGGAAGUGGUUCAGAACGUGCUGCGAGACUUCCUGGAAGAGCUGAGGGAGGCCCAGCAAGAGCGGGAUGAAGCUCGUUCCCAGCUGGGUGGCCUGAAGUGUCAGCUGGCCGAGACGGAGGCCCAGCGUGACCUGGCCAGCAGCCGUGUGCAGCAGUUGCAGAAGCAGGUGGCCGCGUGCGAGGAAGAGAGGCGCAGUCUGGAUGGGAAGCUGACUGGAGCCCAGACGGCUUUGAUGCUUCAGGAGGAGACCCUGCGCUGGAGUGAGCGAGAGCGCAAGGCCCAGGCAGAGAAGUUGGCUGUGCUGGAGCAUGACCUGCAGGCGGCCUCAAGCGAGCGGAGGGCCACGCAGGAGAAACUCAGCAAGAUGAAGGCCAACGAAGCCAAGCUGGAGGUGGACAGACGACGGCUGAGAGACUCCUUGGGCAGUUCGGAGAGCCGUAGCACCAAACUGGAGCUCCUGCGGCGGUCGCUGGAAGGGGAACUGCAGCGGGCCAAGGUGGUGCUGAGUGACCGCGAGGCUGAGCUCCAGCUUCUUCAGGAGCGCGUCGCCCUCAUGCAGAGGCAGGUGACUGAGAGCGAGGCGAGAGCCGGUGCGCUGCAGCACUCCUUGGACCAACUCAACCUCUCGCUGGCCAAAGCUGCCGAUUCUGAGACUUCCCUGAAGGAGAAGGUGCAGGGACUGACGGCCACCUUGUCCGAGAGCCAGAGCAGCUCCGUCUCAGCCCAGGAGAAGCUGCUGCAGUUGCAGAAGGCCCUGGCAGCUGGGGCGCACGAGCAGAGAGUCUUGCAGGAGCGACUAGACGCAGCCCGACAUGCCCUCUUGGAAGCAAAGAAGCAGAACGGAGCACUUUCGGAGCGCCUCCAAGCCCUAAAGGAGCAGCAGGCCGAGCUGGAGCUGCAGAAGGAGCAGCUAGAGGGGCUGGGGAGACAGCAGGAAGAACUGCUGCGCCAACGCCAGGAGGGGGAGGCGGUGGCCCUGCGGAAGCUCCAGAAGGUGCAAGAGGACCGGCGCCUGCUCCAGGAGCGCCUGGGCAGUCUGCAGAAAGCCCUGGCCCAGCUAGAGAGCGAGAAACGGGAAGCCGAGCGCCUGUCCCUGCGCCUGGAGAAGGAGAAGGGCGCCCUGCGGAGGACCUUGGACAAGGUGGAGCGCGAGAAGCUGAAGACUCACGAGGACUCGGUGCGGCUUUCGGUGGAAAAGGGGCGCCUGGAUCGUUCCCUCACGGGUGCAGAGCAAGAGCUGAUGGGAGCCCAACAGCAGAUACGGCAGCUGGAGACGCAGGUGGCAGAGCUGGAGCAGGCCCGGGGAAAGAAGCCCCUUUGCAAAGCGGCUGUCCUACAGCGGCAGGAGGAUUUCGACUCUGAAGGAGCAGCUGCAGCAAGACACCCAGAAGGGGCAGCUUUAUUUCCCGGCUUCCCCUCUCUUUUCCGGACACUAGCUGUGGCGGCAGACAUGCAGAGGGAGCCGAGUCCCACGUCUCUAAAAGAGUGCCAUGGCAAGAGGGGCCACUGACCUCCAAUCCUUCAGAUUCACACGCGGCGUAAGAGCCAGACAGAAGCAGAAGCUCUUCUGAUCAAGGAGCAGAGCCCAGCGACUGGCCCUUCCUUGCUCACUCACUCGUUUUGCCGAAGACAGGCUAAGCCUGCCUGCUCAAACCGCUGGCUUACCUCAUCCAUCAGCAGCCAGAGCCACUUCUCCAACACUUGCCGCCGCCCUUACCUUCUCAGGCCAGGUGAGGAGUGACUGGGAGGGGAGGGCAAGGGGUGGGGCCAGCCAGUGGUGGGAUCUCCCGACAGGGAGCCACAACAGAGGGCCCAAAGAGCCGCAUGAGGCUCUGGAGCCAUAGGUUGCUGAUACCCAGACUAAGGUCUGCAUCCCCAUCUUUCCUCUUACCUGCGCAGAGCACCUGGUCAGCCUCCCUCUUGGCAGUAGGCACCUCUCUCUUUCUCCCUGCUGACUCCAGGUGCAGCCACCGACGUACUCCCCCAGCCCCCUCAACACCUUCUGCCAAUCAGGGAAAUACAUGGGAAGGGCUGCUCACCUGCCAUCUUCGAUCUGCUCUGUUUGGACCUUGGAUGCGAAACACCGUCCCGACUGAUCCUGGAAGAAGAGGGCGGGAACAGCUGAUGGGCAGAAGCGCCUCUUCCCCGGGGAAGAGCCAGUGGCUUUGCAGAGAGGCAGGGGUGGGGAUUCUCAGGGGUUCGGGAGAACCUCUAGCUAAGAUUCUGUGCAGCUCGGAGGGCCCCCCAAAUCCCACUCCUGGCUGGCCCUACCCAUUUCAUCCUGCCCAACCCUAUCCAGGAGCCCCCUCGGCCCGUUUUGGAUGCAGGUAAGUGCAGGGCGCAUGUGUGAAGGCUCAGGGAGGGCGAAAAAUGGGCCGACCAGAAGUUUGGAAAGGCCGGAAACAGGGCCAUUUCCAGCCUCCAGAGGGCCUCCGGAGCCUGGGGAGGCCGUUUUCACCCUCUCGGAAGCUUGAGGAAAGCCCCCAGAGCCCAGGAAGGACAAAAACGCCCCCCCUCCCCCACUGUGGUGCAGGAGGCCGACUAGGCCACGCCCACCAUGGCCACCCCCACCCAGCAACUGGGCAGAGAACCCCUCGCUAAAGUUUUUGAAGCCCACCCCCGGGGAGAGGAGGAGAUGGGUCCAAAGCCAUGGGAGCUUCCAGGGGCCGCCCAGGGGCCCGUUGCAGUGCCCAAGCCGGCUGGGGCCCCUCCUGCCCAGCUCUGCCUUCAGGCACUUACUCGGAUGAGCACCCAGUCUGCCUGGCCCAAGGGGCAGGGCGUGCAUUUGGCGUAGAUCUCCAGGUGCGGCUUCCAGUGGAAGAUGACGAGGGGGAGCCCCAGAGUGAGCACGGAGACCGAGUGGCAGAGGAACGUCUUCCAUGUCUUCCUCUGGUAACCCUUCACUUCCUGGGGAAGGAAGAAUUGGCGAUUGGCAGGAGAACCCGGGCAGGAGUUUCCUCACCCGCGGCAGCGUCCCUUAAUAUAAUUAAUAGGUUCUAUCAUAUCUCAAGACUUAAAAUGGACCCCUAACAUCAGAAACGUCAUCUAAAAAAACACAACAGAGAAUGUUCUUUCUGCGCCAACUCAGGAAGCUCAAACUGCCCCAGGAGUUCCUGAUCCAGUUCUACAGAGGAACUACUGAGUCUGUCAUCUGCACCCCCAUAACUGUUGGGUUUGGCUCUGCAACCCAACAAGACAGACAGAGACUUCAGAGGAUCAUUAGAACUGCUGAAAAAACAACGGCUACCAACCUGCCUUCCAUGGAGGACCUGUCUACUGCACGAGUCAAAAAGAGGGCUGGGAAAAUAUCUACGGACCCCUCGCAUCCUGGACAUCAACUGUUUCAACUCCUACCCUCAAAACGACGCUAUAGAGCACUGCACACCAGAACAACUAGACACAAGGACAGUUUUUUCCCCGAACGCCAUCACUCUGCUCAACAAAUAAUUCCCUCAACACUGUCAAACUAUUCACUAAGUCUGCACUACUAUUAAUCUUCUCUUCCUUACUAGUAUCUAUCUCUUCCCACUUAUGACGAUAUCCAUGUUGCUUGGAUCUUUACAACUUAUAUUGUUUUUAUUUGUUUCCUAGUACUAUUUGAUAGCUUAUUAGUAACCUUGACUGUCACUUCAGUGUUGUAUCUUUUUAUUCUUGAUGAAUGCAUUUUAUUCUCCUUAUGUACACUGAGAGCAUAUACACCAAAGACAAAUUCUUUGUGUGUCCAAUCACACUUGGCCAAAAUUCUAUUCUAUUCUAUUCUAUUCUAUUCUAUUCUAUUCUAUUCUAUUCUAUUCUAUUCUAUCCUAUCCUAUCCUAUCCUAUCCUAUUCUAUUAUUCUAUUUUUCUCCUAUUCUGGCAGAGUUCAGGGCCAUGCACUUCCUGGUAACACCCGAAGCCUCCAGGCCCAGCCAUUUGGACUCACAGCUUAAUCCUUUCUGGAUUUCUUAAAACCUCCAGGAUACAAAAGGCUUAAGAGAAAUGCAAAUUUAUCUCAUUUCCUCAUGAGCUUCACCUCAGACAUUGGCCUCAAGCAUUGAAAGGCUGGCCUUAGCCGCCCCAUCUUUGGAAAAGCCCUCUUCUAGUUCCCGGGAUCGACAGUCCAAUGAGGCACUGACUCUCCCUCGGUCCUCUAAUCCCCCCCCCAAUUCUCCUCAGGGGUGGGCUGCUGGGGGUUCGCAGGGGUUCGGGAGAACCUCUAGCUAAGAUUCUGUGCAGUUCCGAGAAUCCCCAAAUCCCACUCCUGGCUGGCCAUGCCCACCCCAUCCUGCCCUUCCCAGGAGUCCCCACGCGACCCAUUUUGGAUGCAGGGCACGCGUGGAGACUCGGGAGGGCGAAAAACAGGCCUACCGGAAGCUCGGGAAGGGCCUCCAGAGCCUGGGGAGGCCGUUUUCGCCCUCCUGGAGGCUCAAGGAAAGCCUCCAAAGCCUGGGGAGGGCAAAAAUGCCACACACACCCGCCAUGGUGCAGGAGGCUGACUAGGCCACACCCACCAUGGCAACGCUCACCCAACAACCGGGCAGAGAAACCCUUGCUAAAUUUUUGAAGCCCACCCCUGCUUCUCCUCCCUCAGCCUCAAAGGUGCCCUGUUUGGAAACUCUCUUCUUACUGUAGAGGGUUUAGGGGGGCUCUGCUCCAGAGAAUGGUAAUUCAGUUGCUGAUCUCCCGACAGGCUGCUAUUACCUAACAAAGGAGAGAGGAAGCAAAAAAAAACCAACAACAACUCGUCAGCGUCCUUGCAAGACGGAGUUUUUCUCUUUGCAUGAGACGACGACAUAGGACGGGAAAAUCCCGCCGAAAUCAUUUCUUACUUCCUCAGGCGGUGUUGAACUUCAGCUCUGAGGUAGCAAAACAGGUCUGACUGCCCAAGGAAGAGGCCGACUUUUUCAUUGUUUGAAAACAAUGAGAAAGAUAGAGAUGUACAGAUUAACAAGAGUUGGAAGGGACUGUUCUGCCCCAGCUAUGGACCCCAAAGAACGCAGCACACACAAAGCCCGUUCAAACCUUGGUUUACUAAAUAAAUCAGUCUUUUACAACAACGGCUGUUAAUUAAUUGCAUUAACAACGGCUGUUCAGCGGCUUGAAAACUUUUCCCCUGGGAGAAGGGAGGAAAGAGAGCCGACGGGUGUGGGUAGAGCUCCCCAAAAGCCCCAGGUUUCUUUUUAAAUCUGGGGCUUAAAGGGUGAGAGCUCCCCGGGAAGCCCGUCAUUGCUCCGGACCUGGGACGUUUCUGCUUCAAGCAGAACUAGGCGUCGCGACCACCCCAGCAACUCAACUUUAAAGAAAAAAAAAAUUUGGACUUGAAAGCUGGCAGAGCAAAUACAGGAGAAACUAAAAUGGCAAGUACUGAACUUUAACUCCGAAGAGUCUAUCACUUCCCUCUGAUUUUCUAUGGGAGAAAGGGAAAGUAAGAUGGCGUUUGAUUCUAACGAGGGCGUGGAGAAGUGAAAGUUAGUUACAAAAUAUCAUGUGGUGCUGAAAGUCCCUGUUUAAAAGAAGAGGAUUUUAUUUUAAAAGGACUUUUAUUUAAAAAGACUGGUACCAUUUAAGGACUGGAAUAAUUGAUUUAGUUGUUGGAAAAGUAUAAAGUGAAAGUCUUAUUAGAGAAAAAAAAAUGGCUGGCUUUUUUGAAAGUUAUGAAGGCUCACCAUUACAUAUAUCAGUAAAUACACAAAUACUGACUGUGGAUCUCUUUGAAGAAAUUUUAGAAUCAUUUACCUCCGGAAGGGCUUUUCAAGAAGGACUUUACACAAACUCGAAACAAAGAUACAAGUGAAGAUACUGUAUUGUUCCAAUUACUAAACAACAAGGAGUUGCUGAAGGAGGAGGCGGACGAAAUAACCCAGUUUAAUGUGCCUUUGGAAAAUGAAAUGGAGGUUUUCCAAAUUAAGAAGGAAAGGCAGAGAGGCUUGAAGGAGCGCAACCAGGAAACAGUGAGAAACAUUUCUUCAGAGGCUUUGACAUAGACAACUGGAAAAUUGUCAGGAGGCGUUGGGAUUUCUUAUAUAAGAAGGAAGAUUCGAAGUGGAACUUUACAACUUUUUUACAAAAAUGGAUUCCCAAUCGCAGUUAAAGAGGUGUUUUUACUGAAAGGAACUACUUUGCAAAGAGAACAGGAUUGUAAGGUUCAGCAACUUCAGUUAAAAAUCCAAGAACUUAUAAAAAUAAAAGAAGGCGGAGGAAAAAGACUGAAGCAAAAGGUUCGCAAAAAAGUCAGGAAAAAAUGGAGAAGGAAAAAUUACAAUCCUCUUUUUUGGGGAGGAUAGUAAUAGUGAAAACGAAUGAUAAUACCUGUAUAAGUUAUAUUAUAGGGAAAAUGAAUGAUUUACCUAUAUUUAGGGACAUGAUUUGUUUUGAAAAGUUACAUUAAAUAACGUUAUGAUUGAAUUGUUAUGAAUUGGUGAAGAAUUUAUAUAAGUUUAUGGGUUAAAAGAAAAAUAUUGUGGAUGUAAAAAUUAUGGACAGUGUAGAUCAUUCAAUAUAAGUUUAUGGGUUAGAAGAAGGAUAUUACUUAAGCUUUUAUAUGUUGUUUUAAAUUACAUUAAUACCAUAUUAAAGAAUGCUUUGUUGAAGAAUAAAUAUAAACUUGUGGGGUAUAAGGAAAAUAUAAAUGGUGCAAGGGUUGAGGGAAGGUUUUUGACAAUAUUUUAUAUGGAUAUUAAACAGUGAAGAUGUUAUUUGAUUAUACGUAGAGGAUUUGUAGAGAAUAAGAUGAAUAAGUUUAUGUAAAGCUACUAAGUAAGGAAUGUUUUCAAGAAGAAUUAAUAUAAGUUUAUGGGGUAAAAAGUAAAAAUAAAGUUUCUACAAUAUA